GGCAAGACGGAAAGACCCCGUGAACCUUUACUAUAGCUUGACACUGAACAUUGAGCCUUGAUGUGUAGGAUAGGUGGGAGGCUUUGAAGUGUGGACGCCAGUCUGCAUGGAGCCGACCUUGAAAUACCACCCUUUAAUGUUUGAUGUUCUAACGUGGACCCGUGAUCCGGGUUGCGGACAGUGUCUGGUGGGUAGUUUGACUGGGGCGGUCUCCUCCUAAAGAGUAACGGAGGAGCACGAAGGUUGGCUAAUCCUGGUCGGACAUCAGGAGGUUAGUGCAAUGGCAUAAGCCAGCUUGACUGCGAGCGUGACGGCGCGAGCAGGUGCGAAAGCAGGUCAUAGUGAUCCGGUGGUUCUGAAUGGAAGGGCCAUCGCUCAACGGAUAAAAGGUACUCCGGGGAUAACAGGCUGAUACCGCCCAAGAGUUCAUAUCGACGGCGGUGUUUGGCACCUCGAUGUCGGCUCAUCACAUCCUGGGGCUGAAGUAGGUCCCAAGGGUAUGGCUGUUCGCCAUUUAAAGUGGUACGCGAGCUGGGUUUAGAACGUCGUGAGACAGUUCGGUCCCUAUCUGCCGUGGGCGCUGGAGAACUGAGGGGGGCUGCUCCUAGUACGAGAGGACCGGAGUGGACGCAUCACUGGUGUUCGGGUUGUCAUGCCAAUGGCACUGCCCGGUAGCUAAAUGCGGAAGAGAUAAGUGCUGAAAGCAUCUAAGCACGAAACUUGCCCCGAGAUGAGUUCUCCCUGACCCUUUAAGGGUCCUGAAGGAACGUUGAAGACGACGACGUUGAUAGGCCGGGUGUGUAAGCGCAGCGAUGCGUUGAGCUAACCGGUACUAAUGAACCGUGAGGCUUAACCUU
rnacentral:rRNA from 1 species